CAACAAGAUCCCUUGUUCAUAACCUUGAAAUGUUUCAGAAGAAACAAAAGGGAAAAGAAAGAAACCAAUGUAAUACAAGAAGAAGAAAAGAUUGAAGGCCCCCAAGCGAAGUUGAUAAUAAGAGACUGGGAACCAAAAGCUGGAAUAACAAUGAUUAAUCAGAAUCUUUUUUUAUUAUAAUCUUCUCCUUCUCUGUCUCUCUGUCUCAAUUAUUUUAUCAUCAUUAUGUUACUUUUUCCAUCGGUGGAAUAGUAUACGAACUCCAUUGGCGAUCGUAACAGUUUGUAUUUGUAUGAUAGAGUUAAAUUAUUUAUAUUUUA